rnacentral:tRNA from 1 species
AGUCCCGUGGUGUAGUGGCCAAUCAUAAUGGCCUUUGGAGGGAAUCCGUCCGCGUCUGCGGCUCACGCGCGGCUGUCGGGUGUUCCACCAAGAACGCCCGUCGGAUGCCCGAAGUCAGCCAUUGACGGCGGUUCGAAUCCGCCCGGGACUA